CGCGGAGCGACACUUGGUUUGCGGCUGAUGGUGGGACAUCGCCGUGAGGUCUCGCAGGCGGAGUUGGAGCCCGUUCCCGGAAUUGUAAGCAGGACAAUCCUGAGGUGUGGAACUUUUCAAAACAGACCUGAGAUGUCUGGCGUCUGGAGGCCCCGGGUCGUUCCUUCGGCCCAGAAGCGCUCCACCCACAGCUCCGGCUCAAAAGGCUACCACAUGAACCAGCCAGGCCUGGCCUGCUGGAGGGUAAGCAACUGCACAGAGCCCGGAGGAGC